UUUAGUGUGUCCAGGGAAGCCACGAGCAAUCACAGUUAUGGCCCCACGAAUGUUCGAAACUGUCUGCCAUCUCAGAUCAUCGUGGUAGUCACACCCCAGAGUCCACAAACAGGAACCGGAAAUCCUGCAACGGACACACCCAGAACCUUCAGCCCUGGUUCCUCAGCCUGUGAAGCUGAGGUCUCCCAGAUCUGAUGGCUGCAGACCAGUGCGGAGCUCAGAUUGCAUCUUCUCCUGCUCCGAGCGGUAAACCUAGUCAAAAUAUCAAGCAAGAAAAUUCCCACUGUAGACGCUGAAUUACUGCGCUGGAAUCACCAGGUGACUGUAAUAAAUUCAUUGUUUUGCAUUGGAAUGAAAGAACCCUGGGGAGAAGGAUCUACGUGAAAUGGAUAUAGAGGAUUUGAAUCUGCUGCAGUGACAGAGAAAGGCAGGAGGGCCGUUGCAAGACUGCCAGCUGGAAAACCAGGAGCUACCACAAGAGGAAAAGCUGUUGCAAAGUCCUGCCCAUGAGAAAAGCUGUGACAGGGUUCCAGCCCACAAAAAGGACUGCUGUGGAGUUCCUACCAGCAGGAAGGACCAUUGCACAACUCCUGCCAUUGUAGAGUUUUGGGAAAUCUGAGAACAUUUGCACCACUGCCUUGGCCAUGUUAUCUCUGCCCCCAGGCCCCUUAAGGUAGUGACAUCUCACACCAACAUCCAAGCAACUACUUUAAA